rnacentral:rRNA from 1 species
UACGGGGGGAGCAAGCGUUGUUCGGAUUUACUGGGCGUAAAGGGCGCGUAGGCGGCCACCGCAAGUCGACUGUGAAAUCUCCGGGCUUAACCCGGAACGGUCAGCCGAUACUGCGGGGCUAGAGUGCAGAAGGGGCAACUGGAAUUCUCGGUGUAGCGGUGAAAUGCGUAGAUAUCGAGAGGAACACCUGCGGCGAAGGCGGGAUCCUGGGCCGUUGCUGACACUGAGGCGCGAAAGCUGGGGGAGCGAACAGGAUUAGAAACCC